UUAUUGAUCCACAUCCACAUCUCUGCCUUAUCAUCUACUUCUACCAUCUGUUGUUCUUAUCUCAUCAAUGGCCUAAACUCCAUCUAUUCAACCUGCUUGCCCUCCUCUUUAGCCUUUUGCUGCUCAGUCUAUAUUAUUGAUCCACAUCCACAUCUCUGCCUUAUCAUCUACUUCUACCAUCUGUUGUCCUCAUCUCAUCAAUGGCCUAAACUCCAUCUUUUGUUCCACUCCAUCUAUUCAACUUGCUUGCCCUCCUCUUUAGCAUUUUGCUGCUCAGUCUAUAUUAUUGAUCCACAUCUCUGCCUUAUCAUCUACUUCUACUAUCUGUUGUUCUUAUCUCAUCAAUGGCCUAAACUCCAUCUUUUGUCCCACUCCAUCUAUUCAACUUGCUUGCCCUCCUCUUUAGCCUUUUGCUGCUCAGUCUAUAUUAUUGAUCCACAUCCACAUCUCUGCCUUAUCAUCUCCUUCUACCAUCUGUUGUUCUUAUCUCAUCAAUGGCCUAAACUCCAUCUUUUGUUCCACUCCAUCUAUUCAACUUGCUUGCCCUCCUCUUUAGCCUUUUGCUGCUCAGUUUAUAUUAUUGAUCCACAUCUCUGCCUUAUCAUCUACUUCUACUAUCUUUUGUUCUUUAUUCAUCAAUUAAAUCUUUAUUUGUUUCCCAAAUUAC
rnacentral:lncRNA from 1 species